UACGUAGGGUGCAAGCGUUGUCCGGAAUUAUUGGGCGUAAAGAGCUCGUAGGCGGUCUGUCACGUCGGCUGUGAAAACUCGGGGCUCAACUCCGAGCCUGCAGUCGAUACGGGCAGACUAGAGUUCGGUAGGGGAGACUGGAAUUCCUGGUGUAGCGGUGAAAUGCGCAGAUAUCAGGAGGAACACCGGUGGCGAAGGCGGGCCUCUGGGCCGAUACUGACGCUGAGGAGCGAAAGCGUGGGGAGCAAACGGG
rnacentral:rRNA from 1 species